UUUUCGUGUACUCGAUCUCAAGUGGUGUACCAGUGAAAAUUAUACCAGGACUUAUUCCUGGUAUGGUGAAUUUCACUGGUAGACCAUUUUUGACUUCUCUACGAUCUUGUAGGACGGUAACCGGACACUUUAAAUCACCGGUUCUUCCUAAUCUUACUCCUCCUCCUCCGGGGCCACGAAGUGCUGGUAAAAUGUAGUAUUGACCACCUGGAAAAAUGGGGUUACCAUUUAUGUCUAAUACUUGCUCAACAUCAUUUGAGGUAGCUAGUGAAAGAUUGGUGAUGAAAACAAAGAUGAAGAAGGAAAGGGUUAGUGAUAAAAGAUGCUUCAUUGUU
rnacentral:lncRNA from 1 species